CAGUCGCCGCGGUAAUACGCAGGUCCCGAGCGUUGUCCGGAUUUAUUGAGCGUAAAGCGAGCGCAGGCGGUUAGAUAAGUCUGAAGUUAAAGGCUGUGGCUUAACCAUAGUACGCUUUGGAAACUGUUUAACUUGAGUGCAGAAGGGGAGAGUGGAAUUCCAUGUGUAGCGGUGAAAUGCGUAGAUAUAUGGAGGAACACUGGUGGCGAAAGCGGCUCUCUGGUCUGUAACUGACGCUGAGGCUCGAAAGCGUGGGGAGCAAACAGGAUUAGAUACCCCGGUAGUCCCUGUCUCUUAUACA
rnacentral:rRNA from 1 species